GACGAACGCUGGCGGCGUGCUUAACACAUGCAAGUCGAACGGAAAGGCCCUGCUUUUGUUGGGUGCUCGAGUGGCGAACGGGUGAGUAACACGUGAGUAACCUGCCCUUGACUGUGUGAUAACUUCAGGAAACUGGGGCUAAUACCGCAUAGGAGCUCCUGCUGCAUGGUGGGCGUUGGAAAGUUUCGGCGGUUGGGGAUGGACUCGCGGCUUAUCAGCUUGUUGGUGUGGUAGUGGCUUACCAAGGCUUUGACGGGUAGCCGGCAUGAGAGGGUGACCGGCCACAUUGGGACUAAGAUACGGCCCAGACUCCUACGGGAGGCAGCAGUGGGGAAUAUUGCACAAUAGGCGGAAGCCUGAUGCAGCGACGCCGCGUGCGGGAUGACGGCCUUCGGGUUGUAAACAGAUUUCGCCUGUGACGAAGCGUGAGUGACGGUAAUGGGUAAAGAAGCAACGGCUAACUACGUG
rnacentral:rRNA from 1 species